AGCUCUCCGAGUGGUGUGGACGUUUAUUGGGCCUAAAGCAUCCGUAGCUGGCUGGACAAGUCCCCUGUUAAACCCACCGAUUUAAUCGUUGGUCUGCGGGGGAUACUGUUCGGCUAGGGGACGAGAGAGGCAGACGGUAUUCCCGGGGUAGGGGUGAAAUCCUAUAAUCCCGAGAAGACCACCAGUGGCGAAGGCUGUCUGCUAGAACGCGCCCGACGGUGAGGGAUGAAAGCUGGGGGAGCGAACC
rnacentral:rRNA from 1 species